rnacentral:rRNA from 1 species
GAUGAACGCUGGCGGCGUGCCUAAUACAUGCAAGUCGAGCGAACAGACGAGGAGCUUGCUCCUCUGACGUUAGCGGCGGACGGGUGAGUAACACGUGUAUAACCUCCCUAUAAGUCUGGGAUAACUUCGGGAAACCGGCGCUAAUCCCGGAUAAUCUAUUGAACCGCAUGGUUCAUUAGUGAAUUACGGUUUUUCUGUCUCUUCUAGCUGGAUCCCCGCCGCAUUAGCUAGUUGGUAAGGUAACGGCUUACCAAGGCAACCAUGCGUAACCGACGUGCGAGGGGGAUCGGCCACACGGGAACGGAAACACGGACAAGAGGACGAAGGGAGGCAGCAGAAGGGAAUGGUCCGCAAUGGGCGAAAGCUUGACGGAGCAACGCCGAGUGAGAGAUGAAGGUGUGGGGAUCGGAAAACUCGGUUAUGAGGGAAGAACAAAUGUGGAAGGAAAUAUGGACGGAGUGACGGUAACGAAUCAGAAAGCCACGGCUAACUACGUG